UUCCCAGAGUUGGGAUCUCUCCAACCUUUGCACAGGUUGUGCCCUUGGGCCUGGAACGUCCCCCUCCCCCUGUCUAGGAAAGGGUUCAUUUUCCUUUAGGAUACUAUUCAGAGAGCACCUCCUUCAAGAAGCCCUCCUGACCCCCGGGCUUCCCACCAGCCAAACGGGGAGUUCCAGAUGCCCAUAGGAGAAUGCCCAGCACUGCCCACCCACGGCUGGGCUCACAGACACUGGCAGGACCAGCAGAGGACUAGGCACUGGGGAGCCACAGAAGAACUCCUGACAGAGGGAUUCAAGAUCGGCUGUGAAGAGACUGACCCAGCUGCUCAUACUGAACCACAAAGGAGCCCUUGGCUUUAGGAAGAUCACUGACUCAGGAAGGAAUAUUCACAUGGAGUCAGGAAAUCUGAGUGACAACUCACCACCUUCUGACUUGCUUAGAAGACUGACCCCAACACUCUUGAGCUUCAGUAUCCUCAUCUGUAAAAGAAUAAUAAUUCCC